CUUAGAAAGACAGUCCAUGCCCCGAGUAUGCAGAAUCAUUAAUAGUCGAAAUCGUACAAGGAAACUUGUUGUUAGUACCUGUUCCUUUAAUUUAUAUGGUUAUCACAACAUUGUGAGACUGGGAAUGGUACGGAGAGAGGUGGCUGUUUUCUCUUUUCAAGUUGAGCAGUACGUCGCACAGGAGUAUAUUCGGGCUCAACAAAUGCCAGUAGGUCUCGAAACCCAUUGCCCUUUACCAUGCUUAGAGGGAGCAUGUCUUUCGUCACCGUUUUAGCAGUUAAAUCUGUUGUGGUUUCAGCUGUCACAUUGAUGAGGGCUCACUAGGAAGCUGGGUGCUUGUUUGCUGUGAUCCCUUGGCCUUGGAUAUUUGGCUCUUAGAAAUGUGGAUCCAAAGAUGCGCCUGAGAGACGACACACGCCAUCACUUGGCAACCGAGAAGGUCCUUGAUGCAGCCAGCAGGAAGGGGCGGGGCCGGAUAUUAGAAGUCAGGGGGGCAGGAUUAUCGGGGGGCGGUGGCUAAAUAACUUAACUCAUAAAAAGAAGCAGGGGACCUGCUUUUUUGUCUGAUUGUAGCAAUUAGAGGCUAUGUCACUCAGUGCAUUUCUGUGUUCUGUUGUACCGCGUGAAAUUGACAAUGAGGUGAGUACGAGCAAAGCUAUGUAAUGUUCUGUAAAUGUAAUUAAUAGUUAGAAAUAACCAAGGUACCUCUAUCAUUACCACUCAUGUCCAAACAUCCCCAAUCGCAUUGUGUCCCUGAUAAAAUCUUCCACAUUUCAAACUGUAACAAAUAUUGGUUAAUGAUUUCACACGGAAGGCAUGCUAGCCAGCACGUGUGUUAAAUUAUAUACAAGCUACACGCUGCGAGCUACGCUUGAUGUUACGUCAACCUUAAGAUCGCCUCUCAUCAAGCGUAGCUCGCAAAGAAUUGCAAGCAUCUAGCAGACACCCAGUGUGAGUGAUGUAGCGAUCCAUGUCUUGUCUUCUGUCAUCGCCCUCCCAGAUCUUCCUGUCCUCCUGACUCCUAAUACCCGACCCUGCCCCUUCCCUCAGGCUGCAGCGAGGGGUACUUGUGGCAACCAGUUUAGAGGAUGCCUGUUGUGAGGACGCCGGGACUGUCGUGGAGCAGCAAAAUUAGAAAGAUGCUGGAUUAUAUAUUUUUGAUGUGCAUCUUUUUAAGUUAGUGUGGGUUAGCGUACUGCCUACAGUCCACAUUGUCUGUUGUCUGCAACUUGUUAGACAUAUUCUAUAACGUGCUAAAUUACUUAUAGUAGCCUUUGUGCUACUUUUUAGUUAUAGAAAGUGCAUAUUGUAGCGAUAGUCAGCAAUACCCCAGUUGUUCAGACUCAAAACAUCUGUAAGGAACUGGAGGACGGACCUUUAGGCCAGAGGAUGAUCUUGCUGGGUUACACAUUCCUGCCCGGUGAGAUCCUGCAACCCGUGAUACACCUGUACAUACCUGCUUAUAAGUCCUUUAGGACAAAUAGCUCUAACUCCCUGCUUUGCUGUGAAAUAAAUGCCUUCUUGCAUUUUACAUAUCA